rnacentral:rRNA from 1 species
GAUGAACGCUGGCGGCGUGCCUAAUACAUGCAAGUCGAGCGAACGGACGAUAAGCUUGCUUCCUUGAUGUUAGCGGGGGGCGGGCGAGUAACACGUGCAUAACCUACUUAUAAGACUGGGAUAACUACGGGAAACCGGAGCUAAUACCGGAUAAUAUUUUCAACGGCUGGGUUCAAAAGUAAAACACGCUUUUCCUGUCUCUUUUAGAUGGAUCCGCGCUGCAUUAGCUAGUUGGUAAGGUAACGGCUCACCAAGGCAACGAUGCAUAGCUGACCUGAGAGGAUGAUCAGCCACACUGGAACUGAGACACGGUCCAGACUCCUACGGGAGGCAGCAGUGGGGAAUAUUGCACAAUGGGCGAAAGCCUGACCGAGCAACGCCGCGUGAGUGAUGAAGGUCUUCGGGUCGUAAAGCCCUGUUAUUGGGGAAGAAAAUAUGUGUGAGUAACUGUGGACAUCUUGACGGUACCUAAAGAGAAAGCAACGGCUAACUACGUG